rnacentral:tRNA from 1 species
GGGUCGUAAGCUCAGUUGGUAGAGCAGUUGGCUUUUAACCAAUUGGUCGUAGGUUCGAAUCCCACACGACCCACCA